rnacentral:rRNA from 1 species
UGGUACAGUCAAAUUCCGCCGGGUAUUAACCAACAGAACCUUCUUCCCACCUGACAGGGGUUUACAACCCGAAGGCCUUCAUCCCCCACGCGGCGUCGCUGGGUCAGGCUUGCGCCCAUUGCCCAAAAUUCCC